rnacentral:tRNA from 1 species
GAAAUAUAAAUAAAUAAGCUUCUAACUUAAUUAAUAGUGAUUAAAAUUCAUUAAUAUUUCU